UACGUAGGGUGCAAGCGUUAAUCGGAAUUACUGGGCGUAAAGGGCGCGUAGGUGGCCAACUAAGUCAGACGUGAAAUCCCCUCGGCUUAACCGGGGGAACUGCGUCUGAUACUGGAUGGCUUGAGUUUGGGGAGAGGGACGCGGAAUUCCAGGUGUAGCGGUGAAAUGCGUAGAUAUCUGGAGGAACACCGGUGGCGAAGGCGGCGACCUGGUCCGUGACUGACGCUGGAGGCGCGAAAGCGUGGGGGAGCAAAACAGG
rnacentral:rRNA from 1 species